rnacentral:rRNA from 1 species
GAUGAACGCUAGCGGCAGGCUUAAUACAUGCAAGUCGAGGGGCAGCAGGACUGUAGCAAUACAGUUGCUGGCGACCGGCAAACGGGUGCGGAACACGUACGCAACCUACCCAUAACUGGGGAAUAGCCCGGGGAAACCCGGAUUAAUACCUCGUAACCUGGUGAAGUGGCAUCACUUUAUCAGUAUAGCUCCGGCUGUUAUGGAUGGGCGUGCGCCUGAUUAGGUAGUUGGCGGGGUAACGGCACACCAAGCCUCGCGAUCAGUAACUGGUGUGAGAGCACGACCAGUCACACGGGCACUGAGACACGGGCCCGACUCCUACGGGAGGCAGCAGUAAGGAAUAUUGGUCAAUGGACGCAAGUCUGAACCAGCCAUGCCGCGUGAAGGAUGAAGGUCCUCUGGAUUGUAAACUUCUUUUAUAGGGGACGAAACCCGGGUAUUCUUACCCGAUUGACGGUACCCUAGGAAUAAGCACCGGCUAACUCCGUGCCAGCCGCCGCGGUAAAAC